GCCCCUCCCCAGGCCAGGCUGGGAUCCUGCAGAGCUCAGAGCUGGGUCUGUGCCAGUCCUCCAGGGGAGCCCCAUCCACCCGGUUCUGGGGUUUCCGGGCCUCUGGAGCUCCUGCCGGGAUGAGCCGCCCAGGAUCCAGGCAGAAGGACCCAGGCGCUGCCAUCCCUUCAUUCACCUCCCUCACGGGGGAUGGCCGGGGUUCCCCCAGCUCCAGGCCUGGGCUUGGGGUCAGUCAGGCCUGCCAGGGGAGCUUCUGCAGGAGUUUUGGGGGAGAUAAAAGGAGCCUUUUUAGCCGAAGGAAAGGGCUGGAAGGGCUGCUGAGAAGGGCUCCAGCCAGGCUCCUCUUCUAGGCCGGAGGACUGUGGGGGGAGGGGGGUGGCUGCUUCCCGGGUCAGGCAGUGGCUCAGCCCCCGCCAGGCUUUGGGCCUUAUUGGACAGUGAGAAGUGGGGGAGGGCCGGGGCGGGGCGGGAGCUUCUGGGCACAUCCAUACCCUGUCCUGACCUCUGGGGCGCCCUGAGCUUCUCCCCACAUUGGUGGUCUCCAAUCCAAAGUACUUUUGCUCAGAGUCAAAAUGGCUUUUAAUACUUUUUAUUCACUAAAGAGGUAGAAAGAGUGAAAGCAGAGAAGUACAAAAGGGCAGAGAAGACGUUAGUUUCUCCGAGAUCCUCCCGUGCCUCCGCCAGGACCUCCACCCUUCAGCUGGGAUUAGACUCUCUCCAGAAGUCAGGAAAGGGCAGCCAGCUAAGCCUGACCCAAGCUAAAGGGAAGCCAGUUAAGCCUGACUCAAGCUAAAGGGCGGUCAGCUAAGCCUGACUCAAGCUAAAGGGAAGCCAGUUAAGCCUGACCCAAGCUAAAGGGCGGCCAGCUAAGCCUGACCCAAGCUAAAGGGAAGCCAGUUAAGCCUGACCCAAGCUAAAGGGCAGCCAGCUAAGCCUGACCCAAGCUAAAGGGCAGCCAGCUAAGCCUGACCCAAGCUAAAGGGCGGCCAGCUAAGCCUGACCCAAGCUAAAGGGCGGCCAGCUAAGCCUGACCCAAGCUAAAGGGCGGCCAGCUAAGCCUGACCCAAGCUAAAGGGAAGCCAGUUAAGCCUGACCCAAGCUAAAGGGCGGCCAGCUAAGCCUGACCCAAGCUAAAGGGCAGCCAGCUAAGCCUGACCCAAGCUAAAGGGAAGCCAGUUAAGCCUGACUCAAGCUAAAGGGCGGCCAGCUAAGCCUGACCCAAGCUAAAGGGAAGCCAGUUAAGCCUGACUCAAGCUAAAGGGCAGCCAGCUAAGCCUGACCCAAGCUAAAGGGCGGCCAGCUAAGCCUGACUCAAGCUAAAGGGCGGCCAGCUAAGCCUGACCCAAGCUAAAGGGCAGCCAGUUAAGGGCACCCAAGCUAAAGGGCGGCCAGCUAGCCUGACCCAAGCUCCCUCCUAGAGGCCCGUCAAGAUGGCGACUUGAGCUGAGGGUGACUCCUGAGGCCAACCUUCCUCCUUAAGCUGCCUCCCUUCCUGGAGGACGUUCUUUAGCCCCGGAAAUCGGGACCUUUUCCAGUGACUUCCUCUCCCCUCCCACAGCGUCCAGGCUGCCUAGUACAGCCCAGGGGCGGCGUCUGUGGGAAGCUCUUCUCGCUCAGGAGGGGCGACCCUCAUCACGGCUCCCGGCUGAUGGGCUUCUGAGGGUGGGAACUCUCUGAGGGCUUCACUUGUUCAGGCUUUUGUUGACUCAACCAAAAGGCAGACAAAGGAGUGAAUCCCGCCGGCAGUCUCGGGAGCUACUGAAGUUAGUGUCAACUCGGGAUAGAUGAUAAAGAAUUCUCCUUCACCACCUUCCCUGCUCACCGCCCCUCCCCCCUGGCCACAGGAGGAAGAGCCUGGCAGGGCUGGCCCCGAGCUGGGCACAGCGGCGCCAGGGGAGGGGGCUGGGCUGGCCGAGGAGAGCAGGCCUGGGGGGGAGCCGGGGAGGCGGGGCCUGGCAGGAAGGGGCCAUCCAAGGGCUCUUGACAGGGCGGCCCCCUGAGCUGGGUGAGCCCCGGCUGUGCCCGCCUGGGGGGUUCCUGCAGUUCCUCCAUGGAGGACAUUGUGAGGGUCAGAGACGGCUCCGGGCCAUUUUUCUGAGCUCAGGAUCCAAAUUUUCACUGUGGUGGGUGGCAGCUGCAGGUGCCCCCCCCAGUCAGGGUCCCCAGAGCAGGUGUUUGCGGGUGUCUGGCGGGUCAUGCCAGGCUGCAGGGUGCCGAGGAGGGCGGCGGGCGGUGGGCAGAGGGCUUUGGUCAGGGUCGGAGCCUUUGAUCAGUCCAGCACGAGGUCAGAGGAGAGAAUGGACGAGUCGUGCAGAGGAGCCUCUCCUGGCCGCAGUCCUCGGGAGCUCGAGGGUGGCCUGACUCUUCCAGGCUCGAAGGGCCCCGACGUGAUUCCUCCCACAGAAGGCUUUGCUGCCAUGAGCUGGUUUUUGUGUAUUUAUCUUUAAUCCUUACUUUGUGUCUUACAAUCAACACGGUAUCGGCCCCAGGGCAGAAGAGCAGUAAGGGCUGGACAAGGGGGGGUCAAGUGACUUACCCAGGGUCACGCAGCUGGGAAGUGUCUGAGGCCAGAUCUGAACCCAGGACCCUCCGUCUCUAGGGCUGGCUCUCCGUGCACUGAGCUACCCAGCUGCCCCCAAAUUGGUUUAAUAUCCUAAGCGCAGCCUCCGUCUCUCCAACCCUGCAGCCCACGUGCUACUCUUCUACUGGAUGUCUGCUGCCCAGUUAGGGUCGUGCGGGGGGCUCACUCCUGGAAAUUGUGAUCACGGUGACGUCUCUAGAGGCUCCUCCGUGGGUCCUGGACAGAGAUAUGAAGGCAGUGAACCACUCCCCUCCCCCCCCCAGGUCACCCCAUUCUUGUCAGACUUGCUGACGGGGUCGAGCCCAGACUAAUGAGACCAGAGUGAGGAGAAUCCAUACUGCGUAUUGCUUCUAAAGCAGAAGAGCGGUCAGGGCUAGGCCGUGGGGAUGAAGUGACUUGCCCGGUCACCCAGCUAGGAAGUGUCUGAGGCCAGAUUUGAACCCAGGACCUCCCAUCGCUGGCCUGGCUCGCCAUCCACUGAGCUGCCCCGCUGCCCCCUACACAACAGAUUUCUAACGGAAUUGCUAGCUGACCCUUUAAAAAAAUGGAAAGUAUUUAUGAAUAUAUGUAUGGAGCCUGUGGCUAAGAUAAUUUGACCAAUUUCCACGUUAUCAAAUCUGAGGCCUUAACGGAAUUUUUUUCCUAAGUAAGGCUAAUCCUUUGGACUAGCGAGUUUACGAACGUUGCAGACUGCUUUUGAGGCAGUUUUAUGAAAACAGCUUUAAACUUCCCUCAAAGGCAAAUUAUUUCUGGAGCUCCUGAAUAACGAGCGCUGCACCCACUUGGAUGCGGUCCAGCAGAACCCCUCCAGGAAUGUUCUCUUCUGAAAAGGGAUAGAAAGCCCCCAGGUCUGGACGAAGGCCGCCCAGGCCCCGCGGGCCUCUGCCUCUGACCCUGCACCUGGCUCCCUGGAAGUGAUGGAGAAGAGGAGAGUAACCCCAGCAUACACGGACAAGACGAGACUUAACCCAAAAUCGCCGUCUCCACCCCCACCCUAUGAGGCCACGGCUCAGCUCAAAGCCAGAAAACAGGCCCCUAAAAGACAAGGCGCUGAGCAUGCCCGAACUUUCCCUCAGGGGUCUCGGAGUCCUGCAUCCUUUCCUUCAUCCCCUCAGAUGGACAGACUAAAGAAACCAAGACAUGUCUGGACCCCAAUUCUGAGCCGAGAUUCCACACUCUCCCCGUGGUCAGUGAAAGCUGGAGAUGUCGGCCCACCCGGCCCGUAGCGAAGAUCCCAGAGAGACGUCCAGCGGUGCUAAUGAGCCGGUCAUUCCCGAGGCAGAAGGGGCAGAGGAUGCCAGGUAACAAAGGUUUGGAACCCUGGAUCUGAGUCCCGAGUUCAGGUCAAGGCUAAGAGAAGAGAAUCCCGCAGCACCAUCACGCUGCUCGCGUCACAGGAGCCUCUCUGGGGAGCUUCUCAUGGGCAGAAAUCUUCGAAGGCUCACCCAGUACCUGGACAGGCCGAGGCUGUGCGAUCUCCUCAGGCCGGCUGUAGACUGACCGUUCCCAGGGAAGCCGCUCCUUCUGCACGGCUUUCCUAGAUGAAGACACAGACCUAAAGCUUCUGUUCUUCCAGCAGAAGUCUUCAGUAUCAUUCACUGCUUUAACAUACUUUUUUUCACAUUAAAAACACUUUCCCCGUAGUUCCACGAUUCUUGCUUUCUCCUUCCCCCUCCGGGAGCUGACAAGCGAUUCCACAGGAUUCUCCCUAUAUCAUCACUCAAAACCCAUUUCCAUAUUAUUCACUUUUGUAAUAGAGUCAUCUUGGAAAACCGAAUCCCAUUCCCAUAAAACGAGCGAGGAAUCGCCGCUUCUCUUCUGGACUUCUACCCCCACUUCUUGUUCUGCCACGAUAUUCGGAUACACCAAACUCCCUCCCUCCCAGUAUGGCGGCCAAGACUCCACGCCAUGCUUGAUGUCUCCUCCGCAGUGGAAUAACCCGUCUAACUCUUACCAUUGUCAUUGCGGUGACUUAUCCAAAGGAUGCUGUGAUCACUGGCUUCCUGAUCGGUCGUAUAAAGGCAAUAAAACACUUUUCCUUUCAGUGUG